UCAAAAUAUAUAAUUUUUUUCUAAAAAAUUGUUCUUAUUUAGUAGGUUAGCUCUUAAUUCAUUUGCUUAUAAUGGAAAAUGAAAUACAGUUUACGGUGAAAGAACAUAUCACAGCUGUAGGUGGAAGCUACAAUCAUAUUUUCAACUAUGAUACAACGCUUAUCACAUCACUAUACUUCACAACCUCCAAUGGCUUUACCUCUCCAUUAUUUGGUGAGAUGAGUGGAGAAGAAUUCAAUCUCAAAGGUGAAAAUGGUGGAAAGCUUCUUGGAUUCCAUGGACGUGGUGGUUAUGCUAUUGAUUCCAUUGGGGCUUUCUUCGAGACACACUCUAGUGGAUCCCAAAAGUUGUCCAAAAAGAUGGGACCGAUUGGUGGUAUUAAGGGAAAUACAUUCGACGAUGGUGUUUUCGAUGGUGUGAAGAAAAUAACUGUGGGGAAAGACAUGUAUGGUAUAACUUAUAUCAAGAUCGAAUAUGCAAAUGACGGAAAAUUGGAAACUCGUGAACACGGGACGGCUAGCGCGGAACUAGAAGAGGUGAAAAUAAAUAAAGGGUCUUUUGUGAAUUUUGUUAAUAUUCAAUUGGUUUGCUACUAAUUCGUUUGUUUAUAAUGGAAAAUGAAAUACAGUUUACUGUGGAUUAUCCAAAAGAACACAUUACAGCCGUUGGUGGAAGCUACGAUCAUAUCUUUACCUACGAUACAACGCUUGUGACAUCCCUCUACUUCACAACCUCCAAUGGAUUUACCUCUCCAUUAUUCGGUAAAAAUAGUGGAAAAGAGUUCAAUCUCAAAAGUGAAAAUGGAGGAAAGCUUGUUGGAUUCCAUGGACGUGGUGGCACUGCUAUUGAUGCCAUUGGGGCUUACUUCGACACCGGUUCAAAAGGAGGUGAAGGAGAGAGCUCCGGCAGCAACGAUACAAAACCUGUUGACACUGACACCAAACCCGGCAAAGACGAUUCAAAACCUGAUGCCUCGGGAAAGACGGGACUGCUUGGUGGUAAAGGUGGAAACGCAUUUGACGAUGGUCGUUUUGAUGGUGUAAAGAAAAUAACUGUGGGAGCGGAUGAUUUAAGUGUGACCUAUAUCAAGAUAGAAUACAUUAAAGAUGGAAAGGUCGAAAUCCGUGAACAUGGGACGAAUCGCGGGGAACUAAAAGAGGUUAGAUUGAAUCAAUCAAAAGUCUUUUUGUGUGUGAAUUUUGUUUUUAUUCAAUUGGUAUGCCACUAAUUCGUUUGUUAAUACAGUUUUCGGUGGAUUAUCCGAAAGACAAGAUCACAGCCGUUGGUGGAAGCUACGAUCAUAUUUUCACCUACGAUGCGACGCUUGUCACAUCACUAUACUUCACAACCUCCAAUGGAAUCACCUCUCCAUUAUUCGGUAAAACGAGUGGAAAUGACUUCAAUCUCAAAGGUGAAAAUGGAGAAAAGCUUGUUGGGUUCCAUGGACGUGGUGGCACUGCUAUUGAUGCCAUUGGAGCUUACUUCGACACUAGCAGCGAUUCCAGUACUCAAAGAGUGGACGCACAAGGAGGCAAGGGAGGCAUUCAAUGGGACGAUGGAGGCGAUCACGAUGGUGUGACGAAGAUACUUCUUGUAGGUAGUGGUCGAGGUAUUGAUCAAAUCAAGUUCGAUUAUCUCGAAAACAAGCAGCCAAAGGAAGGAACCCUCCAUGGUGUGAAAGGAAGAAGAAGUUUCGAAUCAACGGUCAGUAUAUAUAUAUAUAUAUAUAUAUUUUUUUUUUAGCUCAAAGAACAUUUUCUGUCAAAAUGUUGAUUUGAGAUUACUUAAAAUUUCCAUCUCGUAAAUUUUCGUGUUUUCUGCAGAUUGAGAUAAGUCAUCCCAAUGAGUAUCUGGUUGCCGUCAAGGGUUGGUACGAUUCAUCCAAUGUCAUUCAAGGACUUCAAUUCCAAACCAGCACAAAGACUUCCGAUUACUUUGUGUCUGGAUUUGCUGGAGAAGGUACAGAGUUUACACUUGAAGUUAAAGACAAGAAGAUCGUCGGUUUUCAUGGCUUUGCCGACUCUGGUCUCUAUUCUCUUGGAGCUUAUUUCGCUCCAAUCACCAAAUGAUCACCAAUUGAAAGUUUGUUGUGUUUGUUUCUUGAUUUCCAUAUGAAUAAAGUUAUAUCAGAGACAGACUUGUAGAUUUGUCACCUCAAGGUCUCUUGAUGGACUAUGAGUUAUGUUUGUGUUUCAACUUGAUGUUUGUGUUGUCGCUUGUUGUUUUUAAUAAAUGAUGUCUGUUCGAUCUAUUUUGAUUGUGUUUCUCUCUGAAUCUUGUUACGACUACAAAAGGUUUUUGUCUUAGCUAGUAAGUAUUUGCUACAUUUUUAUCUUCUUACCACAAUAUGUUGGAACUUUGAAUGAGUCGCACGAACAAGAUCAAGGAGGAUGUUUGCUUAAUAAUUAGGAUUGUGGCUUUAAACUGUAUGACGAUAAAGUAAUUGUUGUGAACGUAAAAAAGUUAAAGCCAUACUUUUUUGUUUUUAGAAAAAUGUGUCCAUCAUAAAGGAAAAUGAAAGAAAUGGACUGUGAUGCUUUUUGUGAAGUAGUUUUAGGAUUUGUAUAACUUUAAAAUAAAUAAAGUGGAUAAAAGAAAACUAUUACAAUUUUUUUAAAAAGUUCUCACAACCUUUAAAAUUAAUUUACCUAACAAUAUAUAAUAUAUAAAAUAAAUAUAGAAUACGUAUGCUAUAAAUGAAAUGAAAAAGAAACAAAUUGAAUACUUGUAUAAUAUGUAUACUGUUUAGAGGAUUUUCGGUUUUCGAGUAGGGGCAAGUCUCCUACAAAUCGGAGAAAACGUGAAGAUUCAGAAAACACGAUAGAGUGUGUUUUUCGAAAACUCUGCGAUGCUCAAAUCAGAAAAUAGCUCGAAAAUUUCACUUAAUUGCCAAUUAAAAAGCAGAAAGGAGCCGGAAACUUAUGAAGAAAAGUGGACCGAGAAUCCUCAUAAAGAGUAGGAUUUACUCAGGCCUUUUAGUGGAAUUGGGCUUUUCAGGGUGAAAAAAAAAUACUCCACGGUUAGGAACCGCCGUGGAGUGGUAAUGAAGAAAAGCGACCAAAAAUAUAGUCAGAAAAGAGUAAAGUGUAUGUACUUACGAACCACAAGUAUUUAAAGUGAACUCUUUUUUCGUGGAAAAGGGUAAAGUAUUUAUAAGGAGUUACGGACUCUGACUAGUAUACCGGAUCGGUCUAUAGACGGUGGUUUGGGUGGGUCGACCCAUGAUCCGACUUGACUGGGUUCGAAUCUUAUGAUGGCGUCAUGCUUCUGAUGGCCUCAUCAACUUUUCUUGGCAGCGUCCUUUUUGUUCUCAGUAUACGAGUCAGAUUGGCGGUUCAGACGCGGUAUGGCUCUUUACUGAACCUCUUUUUUUUUCCUGGCUCUUGCGAAAAGUCAUUGUCACUUGACAUACGUUAGGAAAACAAAUUAAAUGUCAAUCUUGUGGAUAUGUAAAGGUGUGGACAAUUAAAUCAAACUAAGACAUAUUCUUAUUGUCGAAUGGAGGGAAAUUUGAAUAAUGUUCCCGGUUAAGUAGUUUAUUCAUACCUGGUUCGGAUCCCUCGAUAUUGGGAUUGGACUGCUGCAGAUGGAUGAUUUUGUUUUCCGGAUACCUGUGCGAGCCACACUUUUUUAUAUUCCGAUCUUUUCAGAUCACCGAGUUUAGGUCUAGGACAUAGAGAAUAUGACUUCCUCUCCUUCUGACCACUUAGUUUCCAACUUUUUUGUUUUUGAUAGUGUGAUCUAUAUUGUCAGACACGAGGAGUCCGGGAAUAGAUGGCCUAUCGUAUUGGAUUUCCCAAAUCCGAUGGAUUCGUUACCCAAUACUAUAAGUUUAGGCCAUAUUAAAUCGACGGCCUAAUACGUGUCCUAAUUUAGCUUAGAGGGUUUACAAAAAAUCAUAAAGUAUAAACACGCGAUUCACCACUUAAGAAAAAUUGAAUUGAUAUAUUAAAGUUGCUUUUUUUUUAGUCAGUUUGCUAUAAAUACCAAAACUUGGUCAAAAUUAGCUGAAUAGGAAUGACAAGACGUAAAUCUAUCUCUACAGUGUUUGGUUGGAAUGUUAAUUACCAUAUAACCCUCAUUUCUCAGUCUCUCUCUUUCCUUUCUUUUAUAUUUAAAAACGAAGAAAAAUUAGUUGUAACAAGUUACAUGUUAUUGUAGCAUGUUAAAAAUUAUUGUAUUAUGUAAAUAUGUAGGUUAACUGCUAACUUUUAGCUUAGCACGAUAACAUAGUUGAUAUCAGUUAACUUUUAUGUUCUUUUUCGUCGGAACAUUAACAUUUUCCUAGAUGUGAUGAUUUUGUUACAAGUUAUAUUUGAUUGUAAUACGUUAAUUUAUGUAUUGUACCUCUAACGUUUGUUUUAACAUGGUAACUUAAUAAUUUUCUGUUUAACUUACAUGUUACCUCUAAAUGUUUAUAUGUUAUUAUACCAUUUAAACAUUUAGAUAUAGCUCUAACUUUAUAUUUCACACGACAAAUAAAAUCUUGAAUCAUCAACUUUCAUCUUCAAUCUCCAGAAAAACCCAAUAUAUGAACCAUUGUCGCCGAUAUCAAAAUCGAUCUAAAUUCCCAGAAAAUUCACAGCCAAAUUUGCACUUCCACCUAUUUUUGUAUUAUCCACAUCCAUAUCUUUGGUGUUCAUUCCUUUGACAUAGAUAAUCUUAUAAAGUGUUUUUGGUGAGUGUGUGUAAGAGAUUGAGUGAAGGAUUGUAAAAAAAUUAAAGAUUUGUGAGGAAAGAGAAAGAUGAACGACGGAAAUAUGGUAUGAAGAAGAAGAAGUUGUGAGAGAAAAAUAUUAAGGGUAAUAAUGUCAUAUUGAAAAGUAUACAGAAGAGUAAUAUUGCGUUUUCCUAUUUUGCAAAUUAUGAACAAUCAUGAGGUUAUCUACUACAAAUACUUUUUUUUUUUCAUGAUUGACACGUAAGCAUGCAUGCUGCGUAGCCGUCAUUCAAUGACUGAAAUGUUAUGUCAUUUUUUUUGGUGUACCAAAUGGCAAAUGCAUGGUUUAUUCUGUGCAGCCCUUUUUUAAUAAAUAUUAAACUGGUACAAUCAGAUUUGGCUUGUUUGCCAAUAGUUUCUAUUUCUAUUCCAAUAUUACUAGCUCUAACUAUCUAAGAAUAAACUUAAACUAGAUUUUAUCACGUGCAUCCGCACGGAAAAUUUGUUUUAAUCAAAAUUUGUAAUCUAAUUUAUGUUUCUUUAUAAAUAUAAUUUUUUAAUAAGUGAUAUAAAAAAAAUUAUGUUUAGAUAUAAUUUUUUUUUUUUUUUUUCAGUAUUAUUAUGACUACUAUGAUCAUAAAAUAAUUUUAGUCUGGUUAUUUUAUUAAUAAAAAAUGACUGUUAUUAUAAAAAUAAAUUUCUAACUCGUUCAUUUUAUUAAUCCGAGAAAGAUCAUGAUUAUGAAACCGUAAUUAUAAAUCCGUCCGUUUAUAUUACUUUAUAAUAUAAAUAUUUACUAGUUUUGAAAUAAUUUUCUCCUAAUAUCUUGCAUUCUCUAAUAACCUAAACAGCAUAAGACCAUAAUUAUUAAAAAAAAUUAAUUUGUCCCAUCAAAUUAUUAUAUAAUAUUAAUCUUUAUCUAUUUUUAAUAUGUGAAAUUUUAAUCUGAUAGAAUAUGAUUAAAAAAUAUAAUAAGAUAUUUGUUAAUCAUAUGUGUUAUUUUGAAAAUCUUAUUUAAAUUUCAAAUGUUAAAUUAAAUCUAACAUAUAUUUAAGGAAGUCUAUUUAAAUUAAUAUCUAUAGACUAUAGAUAUAACCUAUAUUUAAGAAAAUUUUUAGUUAUCUAAAUUAAUAUCUAAUUUUCAAAAUUAAAUUUAUAUAUAUUAAAAAUAUUUUAAAAAAAAAUUUUAGGAGUGUUUGUAAACAAACACUAAAAUUAAUUCUGUUUUAAUAUAAUAGAUUCGAUAAUUAAAAAACAAAGAACAAUAUAGCUGUGUCAGCCAAGAUGCCGUAAAAUUUCCGAUAUUUGAGACUGUAAUGAUUGCUUCAGUUGAAGUGAGUUUGAUUGAAUAAUCAAGAUGAUAAAAAAUCCAGAAAUUUCGUUUGACGAGAGAUGUUUGGUCUGAGGAAUGACCGGAAGUUUGGUCUAAUUAAGUCUUUGAAGAAAAGCCAACAUAGACAUACCGCUUCAAAAUCGGUUUUCUACAUUGCGUCAGUACUGUAGUAAAUUAUAGUCCCUUCUUUGUGGGAGAUGGGAUUUUCGAACUGAAACAAGAAGAAACUAAGAGAAAAAAUAGGAAUGAUGACAAAUAUUUAUUUAAAAUUUCUUUAUUAAUGUGUGAAUAAAUUUAUUACAAAUUUGCAUUUUACCGUGGUCUAUUACAGUCUUCUAGUCGCUCAAGCAAAACUUCAUAUCAUAUUUUUUAUCAUUAUGCAGAAGUAUAUUCAUCUGCGGAGGAAUAGUGGAUUGAGGUGACAAAACUUGGGCUAAAUUCAUAAGUUACUUGGAUUUUUAUUUGUUUAGGAAGCCAUUCUCUCUAACGUUCAUAACAAAUUCACCCGUUUUCGAGAAUCGCACCUACUGCCACUGUAAUGUUUUUUUCUCUCAAAUAUGUAAGUAUCAGUGUAUCAAAGACUCAAAAGGAGACUGGAAUUAUCUUGUAAAAAUUAAAAUAAAUGUUACGAUUCUUUUUUAGUUAAUUUGAUUUUUUAAUAAUUUUCUAACCCAAUUUUUAUAUAGCCGAUCGACUCGAGAAAAAAAAAACUGGGGCUAAACCGCGUUAACGGCUCUAAUAAUAUGUUCUCCUAAUUACAGAAUCUUUUUCUUUCUAAAAUUCCUAAUUACAGAAAAUGCCACUGAAGUAGUUACACAUGUGAAGAGCAUGGUGCAAGGGUAUCAUUUAUACAAAAAAAAUUAGGCUUCAUUUGGUUAGACCAUUUUUUUAUGGUCGGUGAUAUUCUUUUUUCUUUUUUUCUUGUAUAACCAAAAAAUGUUGAAUAUCGCCAUGUGACAAAAAAAUUAACGUUAACUAACCUUAUCACCGAAAUGGCAAUAAAUAUCAAACCAUUUGCCAUCCCCAAUUAUUGCAUUCACUCUCCUCCUCCACAUCUUCUCACUCAGGUACUCUCUCUCUACCUCUCUCUCACACUCUCUCUCUCUCUAUCUCUCUCCUCUCUCUCUCUCAUUUUCGAGUUUCUAGAUUAUUCUAUUCAUCCGAUCAAAACGAGCUACAGUAGAGAUUAAACAAAGACUAUGAAAGAAGUUUUUAUGUAUUUAAUAAAAGACCUUCAAGAAUUUAUGAACAAAGCAUUUUUGUGGCUAUGCAUGUUGAUAUCAAUUAUUGUCCCGAUUUUAUUUUCAAUAGUUUUCGUGUUUUUUCGGUAACACUUGUCUCCUUUCCUUUCUUUAAUUCUUCUAUAUACACAUUAUCAUUAUGUUUUGUUUUAUUGUUAAUUUCCAUUCUUCAAUUUAACGAUAUAAUUUUCUUUUGUUUUUAGUCGUACAUUAAUAUAUUUUAUUUUCAUGGCUUUUAAAAAAUAAAAGAGAUUGUUUUGUUUUCACACAAUAACGAAUUGACUUCGUAAGGUUUAGAUCGGUUGAAAUUAAACCAGAUCCAGACCGGUUCAUUUUAGAAAGAUACAGAAAAACACAUUCGAUGUUAAUAAGUACAAUUAUAUAUCGUGUAAUUUGAGUUUGAUCCAUCACACUCCUUAGUGGCCAAUCAAAGAUGUUAGAGUAACUGCGUUUUGUUAUUAUUUUUCUGGAAAUAUAUUGUGGAAAAAGGUAAUAUACAAGUCUAAACUUCUUUUUUUGGAAAUAUUUAAUUUUUAUCCAUAAUUUUCAGGAUAUAUUUGACUGAUCGUCUUAACGGCCACGAUGUCUUGGGAUGACGGAAAGCACACGAAGGUGAAGAGAGUUCAGCUUACGUUCGAUGACGUCAUCAGAUCCAUCCAGGUCGAGUACGUCGGAACCACCCUCCAGUCUCAGCGACGUGGCAACGGCGGCACCAAAUCUGACGGAGUUAGUAACAACAGUGCUAACAACAUUUUAGUAUUUAAGAGUGUUUUAACUGUAAAAGAUUAUAUUAAACAAUUGUGGUUUGUUAAUUACAUAUCUUUUUUUGUUGUUGGCACAUGCAGUUCACACUGAGCUCGGACGAGUACAUAACGGGAUUGUCUGGUUACUAUAGAACGACUUUUUCGGGAGACAUUAUAACGGCGUUAACGUUUAAGACGAACAAGAAGGCAUAUGGCCCUUACGGAAACAAAACUCAACACUACUUUUCCGCUGAAGCACCCAGUGGUAAUCAAAUCGCCGGAUUUCUAGGAACCUCCGGCAAUGCUCUCAACUCCCUAGACGUUCACUUUGCUCCCAUUCCUCCCGCUGGUAGCAUCGGACCAAAACCUGAUGAACCCGAAACCAAACCUCCCGGCCAAGAAGAUUCAAAAGGUGAUGGCUCCGGAAUCAAACCUCCCGGCCAAGAAGAUUCAAAAGGUGAUGGUUUCGAAACCAAACCUCCAGGCCAAGAGGAUUCAAAAGGUGAUGGCUCCGGAACCAAACCUCCUGGCAAAGAAGAUUCAAAAGGUGAUGGCUCCGGAACCAAACCUCCUGGCAAAGAGGAUUCAAAAGGUGAUGGCUCCGGACCAAACCUCCCGGCAAAGAAGAUUCAAAAGGUGAUGGCUCUGGAGCCAAACCUCCUGGCCAAGAAGAUUCAAAAGGUGAUGGCCCCGGAAAGACUGGGCUGAUCGGUGGUAACAGUGGAGACGCAUUUGAUGAUGGUCGUUUUGGUGGUGUGAAGAAAAUAACUGUUGGAGCAGAUGAAUACAGUGUGACUUACAUCAAGAUUGAGUACGUAAAGGACGGAAAAGUUCAAACCCUUGAACACGGGACUAUUCGCGGGGAACUACAAGAGGUCAGAAUGAAUUAAUUUUUUUUUUUUUGUGAAUUUUGUUAAUACUCAAAUGGUUUGGUACUAAUUCAUGUGUUUCUAAUGGGAAAUCAAAUACAGUUUUCGGUGGAUUAUCCAAAGGAACAUAUCACAGCUGUUGGUGGAAGCUACGAUCAUAUUUUUACCUACGAUACAACGCUUAUCACAUCGCUAUACUUCACAACCUCCAAUGGAAUUACCUCUCCAUUAUUUGGUAAGCAGAGUGGAAAAGACUUCAAUCUCAAAGGUGAAAAUGGAGGAAAGCUUGUUGGAUUCCAUGGCCGUGGUGGAGCUGCUAUAAAUGCCAUUGGAGCUUACUUUGACACCAGUUCGAAAGGAGGUGACGAUACAAAACCUGUUGACACUGACACCAAACCCGGCAAAGACGAUUCAAAACCUGAUGCCUCGGGAAAGACGGGACUGCUUGGUGGUAAAGGUGGAAACGCAUUUGACGAUGGUCGUUUUGAUGGUGUAAAGAAAAUAACUGUGGGAGCGGAUGAUUUAAGUGUGACCUAUAUCAAGAUAGAAUACAUUAAAGAUGGAAAGGUCGAAAUCCGUGAACAUGGGACGAAUCGCGGGGAA
rnacentral:lncRNA from 1 species